UACGAAGGGUGCAAGCGUUACUCGGAAUUACUGGGCGUAAAGCGUGCGUAGGUGGUUGUUUAAGUCUGUUGUGAAAGCCCUGGGCUCAACCUGGGAACUGCAGUGAAAACUGGACAACUAGAGUGUGGUAGAGGGUAGCGGAAUUCCCGGUGUAGCAGUGAAAUGCGUAGAGAUCGGGAGGAACAUCCAUGGCGAAGGCAGCUACCUGGACCAACACUGACACUGAGGCACGAAAGCGUGGGGAGCAAACAGG
rnacentral:rRNA from 1 species